rnacentral:rRNA from 1 species
CCUACGAGGUGCAGCAGUGAGGAAUAUUGGUCAAUGGUCGGACGCCUGAACCAGCCAAGUAGCGUGCAGGAUGACGGCCCUACGGGUUGUCAACUUCUUUUAUACGGGAAUAACGCGUCUUACGUGUCGGGCUUUGCAUGUACCGUAUGAAUAAGGAUCGUCUAAUUCCGUGCCAGCAGCCGCGGUACUACGGCAGGUACGGGCGUUAUCCGGAUUUAUUGGGUUUCAAGGGUGCGGAGGCGGCUUGUCAAGCGUGCUGUUAAAUGUCCGGGCUCAACCCCGGCCCUGCAGAGCAAACUGGCGGGCUGGAGUACGCGGAAAGCAGGUGGAAUGAGUGGGGUAGCGGUGAAAU